rnacentral:rRNA from 1 species
GACGAACGCUGGCGGCGUGCUUUACACAUGCAAGUCGAACGGAAAGGCCCUGCUUUUGUGGGGUGCUCGAGUGGCGAACGGGUGAGUAACACGUGAGUAACCUGCCCUUGACUUUGGGAUAACUUCAGGAAACUGGGGCUAAUACCGGAUAGGAGCUCCUGCUGCAUGGUGGGGGUUGGAAAGUUUCGGCGGUUGGGGAUGGACUCGCGGCUUAUCAGCUUGUUGGUGGGGUAGUGGCUUACCAAGGCUUUGACGGGUAGCCGGCCUGAGAGGGUGACCGGCCACAUUGGGACGGAGAUACGGCCCAGACUCCUACGGGAGGCAGCAGUGGGGAAUAUUGCACAAUGGGCGGAAGCCGGAUGCAGCAACGCCGCGUGCGGGAUGACGGCCUUCGGGUUGUAAACCGCUUUCGCCUGUGACGAAGCGUGAGUGACGGUAAUGGGUAAAGAAGCACCGGCUAACUACGU